GCCAUGGUAACCCCGUGAUUGUCUAUUUAAUACGCACCUGUGAGCGGCUGUGCAGAUCAGAAGCCCGAAGAAGUGCGCAUUGUGCACAGGAAACAGCUUGUCGCUGCGAGGUUGUUUCUCUGCGCCUACCCGACUGCGUGUCACACCGUUGAUGUAAUAAAGUCUUCUGCUAUCAAGACCCCCGGUUCUUUUUCUAAUUCUGCAAGAUGGCCCGGCACUACAAGACUACACACGUUCCCACAAUUCUCCUUGCUCGCAUACAUUGUACAGAUGAGGAGAUUGCAGUUGAACUGCGCAUUUUUUGACUGUUUCAGAACCCUAAAAAUUUAACAAGGGGAUACGUUGUUUAUAGUUAUUAACCCAAGACCCACCAGGACCCUUUUUCUUUAAGAACCCUAAUAAGGACAUGACCAAGGGUAACAGGGCAAAGCAAACAAAGUAGGGAUUAGUAAGCAUAUGUAUAGCAUAAGUAUCUCUUAAGGGAUUCUUGUACAUUUCAGUUUAUACCUCUGUAGAUUUGUGAUUAAAAUAACCAA